CCAAGCCAUACCAUUCCAGACAUCUGACCUAGAGAAACAGUGAGGCUUGUGUAAAACUGCUACAUGUGUGAUAAUUGGUUACACAUCAACACAAAAGUAACACAGUCAGUACAGAAAGGAUCAGAGUAAUAGCUACUAAAGAAGAGCAGGGUGGGGAAGAGUAUGCCAACACUUUCAGCGAUUUAGAGGUGUUUGGAAUGGACAAGGGAGCUUCCCUGGUGGCUUAGUCUGUAAAGAGUUCGCCUGCAGUGCAGGAGACUGGGGUUCCAUCUCUGGGUCUGGAAGAUCCCCUGGAGAAGGAAAUGGAAUGUGUGAGGAGAAGAGAGAAGAGACUGAAAGACGAGAUGAGAGCUUGCUGUUUAACUGUUUAACAGAGCUCCAUAAACAUGGAGCAUGAGGAACACGGCACAGCCUGGGACCAGGCAUUCAGGAUCCCCGGCUUCGUCAGUCAGGGAAGCCGGCGAGCAGGAAGAGUGGCUUGAGGGUGCCGAGCCCCAGACGCUGACCAACAUCUGCUUGCUUGUUCUUUCUCAUCUCAGUUACUCACAGCACCAGCUACGUGUAGGGCACCACUCCAGGGGGCAGGGACACCCACUGCUCCGAGCUCCCAGACCUCAGCAGGGCCUUUGUUAUUGCUCUUGUUUUUCCAGAAGUCAUGUGGAGUAAGAUAAAUAUAGUUUAUGGAUUCCCACAACUAGUUCUGCCACUUAUUAAGCCCACAAGCCAGGGCAAGUCACUUAACCUUUCUGAGUUUCCCUUUUCUGAUUUGUAAAUAACUAUUAUAGCUACUUCAGCAGGCUAUUGCAGGAAUCAAAGACAAAGUAGAUAAAAACUUUAAACCUCAUGAAAGCCCUGUUCAGAUGAUCCACUUUCCUCUCUUUGUCUGUCUACCAUCCAUGUGCUCUCGUUCUCAUAUUCUUUUUUUUUUUCUCUCUCUUUCCUUUCAUUGUUUUCUUUAUUAAAUUAGUUCAACAAAUAUUUCUUGGGAGCCUGUGCUAUUCAUUCAUCUAAAUGUCUGUCCAUGUCUGCUUCACACACACACAUUCGCAUCAUGGAGCUUACUCUAUGAACACUUAAGGAUACAGAACAAAGCUCCUAAUGUAUUUUUAAGUGGAAAAUAAAAGUG
ensembl:lncRNA